rfam:Ictidomys tridecemlineatus contig073753, whole genome shotgun sequence.
UGGGGUGUGGCUCAGAGGAAGAGUGCUUGCCUAGCAUGUGUGGGGCACUGGGUUCGAUCCUCAGCACCACAU